rnacentral:sRNA from 1 species
UGACUCUAAUGGAAAAACAGUGAGCUC